rnacentral:lncRNA from 1 species
GUGACUUCACUUGUACUUAUAAUUAUUUGGAUGCUGCCACUCCCAGAGCUGAAGACUUUUUUACCCUCGCCCAAGCCCUGUGGAAGGAAGCGCACAAAGAAGCAUGAUGGGCUUCUCAGAGCUGAUUAGCACUAACACAAAGAGACUCACUGGCUGCAGUUCUUUUGGAGCAAGGCUGUUGGUUUUGGCUGGCUGGCAGCACUGCUUUAGAUCAGGGCUGUUGUGUUUUGCUGAACCAGCCUUGUGCUUUCUAAGCCCAAUUCGCAUUAGUGGUUUAUCAGCCUCUAUCUCUUCCAGCCACCCCAGCACACUGCUGGGCCCAUCCUCCUGCUCCCCAGGCACAGGUGUUUGGGUUUUGCCAUGGUGUCAUUUCAAAUUGGUUGCACUGGGAGGGAAUGUCUUUGUGAAGAAAGCCAGGCACACAGCACCACCUCGCCAGCUUUCUCUUACUGGGAAGUUGAACACCGAAGCUUUCUGGUGACUGAACAAUAAUAAGGAAAGUAAGGAAAGCCUCAAAAAACCUAGACAAAGCAGACGGGUGCCCAGGGAAUGUAAGGAAGGAUGCUGCCACUUUAGAGGUAAGGGACCGAGGAAAGUUUAUGUCCCUUGAUCAGUGUUUGAAGAGACCAGUGGGGCCCGGGCUGUCUGUAGUCCUCUGGCUGCCCUUACCCAUGGCUUG